UACGAAGGGGGCUAGCGUUGUUCGGAAUUACUGGGCGUAAAGCGCGCGCAGGCGGUCUUCCAAGUCAGUGGUGAAAGCCCGGAGCUCAACUCCGGAACUGCCAUUGAAACUGUAAGACUUGAGGAUGAGAGAGGUGAGUGGAAUUCCGAGUGUAGAGGUGAAAUUCGUAGAUAUUCGGAAGAACACCAGUGGCGAAGGCGACUCACUGGACACAUAUUGACGCUGAGGUGCGAAAGCGUGGGGAGCAAACAGG
rnacentral:rRNA from 1 species